GCAGUUGCAGACUGCAGCUUCAGCAGCUCCUUUUGAUCUUAGCAAAGCUGCACCCUGGUGCGCUCAGCUCCUCCUCAGGGCGUGGGAGCAUGGGCUUCAGGAGAUCAGCAAGCAGCCCCUCGCUGGAGAGGUUUUCUGAAGCCUGUGGUCAGCAUGAGGAGCAAUGUCAGCAGGGCUGGGCUCAUCCACCAGGGGCAUGACUCACCAGCUGGUGGGCAGGCGAGGUUGCUCUCCUGUGAAAGAGCCCAGGGCACCCAGAAGAGGCCCUUUUGAAGAUGAGUGCCCAGGAAUGCCUGGGUGAUCAGGAAGGCACAGUUGAGCAGGGCUCCGAGAGGGGCCGUCCUCGCCCUAGAUCCCGAGUGUGAAAAUCUUCAAAGCUUGAUACCAGGAUGUUGGACCCCGACACUGGCCACCCUCUCUGACUUGCCUCUCCGAUGUGCUUCUUGGGCUUCCGCCAUGAUGGCCAGGCAGUCCUGAGCUCUCUGGCCUCCCUGCCUCUGCUUAGGCUUUUCCUUGCAGUUGGAUCUCAAUAUCCCUCAUGCACUUUACUAGUCAUUGCCAAAUCCUUAGCACAGAAGUGGACUCGCCAUGAGUACUGAGGCCUUUCCCUGGUGUGGUCCCAUCUGCAGACCUGGAGGCACCAUGGUGAGGUCAGUUCCCAUGGAUGUGUUUUGUAAAAUUUGCAAAUGGAAGAUAAACAGAUUAAGACCUCUGUCUCUUUAUACCCAA